GACGUAGGGCGCGAGCGUUGUCCGGAUUUCUUGGGCGUAAAGAGCUCGUAGGCGGCUUGUCGCGUCGACUGUGAAAUCCCGCGGCUCAACUGCGGGUCUGCAGUCGAUACGGGCAGGCUAGAGUUCGGUAGGGGAGACUGGAAUUCCUGGUGUAGCGGUGAAAUGCGCAGAUAUCAGGAGGAACACCGGCGGCGAAGGCGGCGCUCUGGGCCGGUACUGACGCUGAGGAGCGAAAGCGUGGGUAGCAAACAGG
rnacentral:rRNA from 1 species